rnacentral:rRNA from 1 species
UGGGGAAUAUUGCACAAUGGGGGAAACCCUGAUGCAGCGACGCCGCGUGAACGAAGAAGGUAUUCGUAUCGUAAAGUUCUGUCCUAUGGGAAGAUAAUGACAGUACCAUAGAAGAAAGCUCCGGCUAAAUACGUGCCAGCAGCCGCGGUAAUACGUAUGGAGCGAGCGUUGUCCGGAAUUAUUGGGCGUAAAGGGUACGCAGGCGGUUUAAUAAGUCGAAUGUUAAAGAUCGGGGCUCAACCCCGCAAAGCAUUGGAAACUGAUAAACUUGAGUAGUGGAGAGGAAAGUGGAAUUCCUAGUGUAGUGGUGAAAUACGUAGAUAUUAGGAGGAAUACCAGUAGCGAAGGCGACUUUCUGGACACAAACUGACGCUGAGGUACGAAAGCGUGGGGAGCAAACGGG